rnacentral:rRNA from 1 species
CCUACGGGCUGCAGCAGUAGGGAAUCUUCCACAAUGGGCGCAAGCCUGAUGGAGCAACGCCGCGUGUGUGAUGAAGGCUUUCGGGUCGUAAAGCACUGUUGUAUGGGAAGAACGGGUUUAAGAGGAAAUGCUUAAACAGUGACGGUACCAUACCAGAAAGGGACGGCUAAAUACGUGCCAGCAGCCGCGGUAAUACGUAUGUCCCGAGCGUUAUCCGGAUUUAUUGGGCGUAAAGCGAGCGCAGACGGUUGCUUAAGUCUGAAGUGAAAGCCCACAGCUCAACUGUGGAAUGGCUUUGGAAACUGGGCAACUUGAGUGCAGUAGAGGUAAGUGGAACUCCAUGUGUAGCGGUGGAAUGCGUAGAUAUAUGGAAGAACACCAGUGGCGAAGGCGGCUUACUGGACUGCAACUGACGCUGAGGAGCGAAAGCGUGGGGAGCAAACAGGAUUAGAUACCCUGGUAGUC